rnacentral:rRNA from 1 species
GUGGGGAAUAUUGGACAAUGGGCGAAAGCCUGAUCCAGCAAUGCCGCGUGAGUGAUGAAGGCCUUAGGGUUGUAAAGCUCUUUUACCAGGGAUGAUAAUGACAGUACCUGGAGAAUAAGCUCCGGCUAACUCCGUGCAAGCAGCCGCGGUAAUACGGAGGGAGCUAGCGUAGUUCGGAAUUGCUGGGCGUAAAGCGCACGUAGGCGGUUACUCAAGUCAGAGGUGAAAGCUCGGGGCUCAACUCCGGAACUGCCUUUGAAACUAUGUAGCUAGAAUGCUGGAGAGGUGAGUGGAAUUCCGAGUGUAGAGGAGAAAUUCGUAGAUAUUCGGAAGAACACCAGUGGCGAAGGCGGCUCACUGGACCGGUAUUAACGCUGAGGUGAGAAAGCGUGGGGAUCGAACAGGAUUAGAUACCCCUGUAGUCC